GCACUGCUGAGGAGUCCCAUAUCAGGACGAAACGGCCGUCCAGUGC
rfam:Schistosoma curassoni strain Dakar, Senegal genome assembly, scaffold: SCTD_scaffold0000618